rnacentral:tRNA from 2 species
AGGUCCGUAGCUCAGUUGGUAGAGCAGUUGACUCUUAAUCAUCUGGUCGUGGGUUCGAGUCCCACCGGGCCUA